UACGGAAGGCAGCAGGGGGGAAUAUUGCACAAUGGGCGCAAGCCUGAUGCAGCCAUGCCGCGUGUAUGAAAAAGGCCUUCGGGUUGUAAAGUACUUUCAGUCGUGAGGAAGGUGUUAAGGUUAAUAACCUUAGCAAUUGACGUUAGCGACAGAAGAAGCACCGGCUAACUCCGUGCCAGCAGCCGCGGUAAUACGGAGGGUGCGAGCGUUAAUCGGAAUUACUGGGCGUAAAGGGCACGCAGGCGGUUAAUUAAGUUGGAUGUGAAAUCCCCGGGCUUAACCUGGGAAUGGCAUUCAAGACUGGUUAGCUAGAGUCUUGUAGAGGGGGUAGAAUUCCAUGUGUAGCGGUGAAAUGCGUAGAGAUGUGGAGGAUACCGGUGGCGAAGGCGGCCCCUGGACAAGACUGACGCUCAUGUGCGAAAGCGUGGGGAGCAAACAGGGAUUUAGAUACC
rnacentral:rRNA from 1 species